rnacentral:rRNA from 1 species
CCUACGGGAGGCAGCAGUGAGGAAUAUUGGUCAAUGGGCGCGAGCCUGAACCAGCCAAGUAGCGUGAAGGAUGACUGCCCUACGGGUUGUAAACUUCUUUUAUAAAGGAAUAAAGUGAGGCACGUGUGCCUUUUUGUAUGUACUUUAUGAAUAAGGAUCGGCUAACUCCGUGCCAGCAGCCGCGGUAAUACGGAGGCUACGAGCGUUAUCCGGAUUUAUUGGGUUUAAAGGGAGCGUAGAUGGGUUGUUAAGGUAAUUGGGAAAGUUUGCGGCUUAACCGUAAAAUUGCCAUUGAUAAUUGCAGUUUUGAGUACAGGUGAGGUUGGCCGGAUUUGUGGUGGUGCGGUGAAA